rnacentral:snRNA from 1 species
GGAUGUAAGGGUGAUCUAGUUUUGACAUCUCUCACCCCAUUGAUCUUAAGGGUUGAUUCAGCUGAUCUGGCUGGGUAGCUGGGUGUCUCCUUCCUCCCUCACCACUCCAUGUGCACCCCUCCCAAAGCUGCAUGUUCUGUGUAAUAGGAUGACCUUCCCAGAUAGGGGAGGAUAUUCCUUGGUCAAGGGUAUAGGAGUAGCUGUGGAAUUUAAGAAAAAAGGCUGAAAAGUAUAGGGUACAAAAGGGAAAAAUGAAACAAGAUGAAACCAUAGAGGAAAACAAACCACAAGAGACUCUUAAUCU